GCUGCAGAAGAAGCACCGGCUAACUCCGUGCCAGCAGCCGCGGUAAUACGGAGGGUGCGAGCGUUAAUCGGAAUUACUGGGCGUAAAGCGCAUGCAGGUGGUUUGUUAAGUCAGAUGUGAAAGCCCGGGGCUCAACCUCGGAAUUGCAUUUGAAACUGGCAAACUAGAGUACUGUAGAGGGGGUAGAAUUUCAGGUGUAGCGGUGAAAUGCGUAGAGAUCUGAAGGAAUACCGGUGGCGAAGGCGGCCCCCUGGACAGAUACUGACACUCAGAUGCGAAAGCGUGGGGAGCAAACAGGAUUAGAUACCCUGGUAG
rnacentral:rRNA from 1 species